rfam:Clostridium halophilum strain M1 genome assembly, contig: G325DRAFT_scaffold00004.4
AAAUUUCUGAAAUAUUCGUAUAGCUCAUAUUUUGAACCUACAGAAUUUUAAAGGGAGCUCAAUAUUUAGAUGUGGAUAUGAACCAUUAUGUGAGACCUAUAUAUGGCAAUGAAGGAGAUAGAAGCAUCUGUGCGGGCACCCACCUGUCGAGAGUGAUAGGUGUCAAAAGAUGAGUUACGGUAUUUUGGAUUAUGG